ACUCCUACGGGAGGCAGCAGUGGGGAAUAUUGCGCAAUGGGCGAAAGCCUGACGCAGCCAUGCCGCGUGUGUGAAGAAGGCCUUAGGGUUGUAAAGCACUUUCAAUAGGGAGAAAACGCCUGUAGUUAAUAGCUGCAGGACUUGAUGUUACCUAUAGAAGAAGCACCGGCUAACUCCGUGCCAGCAGCCGCGGUAAUACGGAGGGUGCGAGCGUUAAUCGGAAUUACUGGGCGUAAAGCGCGCGUAGGCGGUUUUUAAGUCGGAUGUGAAAUCCCCCGGGCUCAACCUGGGGAACUGCACUCGAUACUGGAAAACUAGAGUACGGAAGAGGGAGGUAGAAUUCCACGUGUAGCGGUGAAAUGCGUAGAUAUGUGGAGGAAUACCAGUGGCGAAGGCGGCCUCCUGGUUCGAUACUGACGCUGAGGUGCGAAAGCGUGGGAGCAAACAGGAUUAGAUACCCCUGGUAGACUGUCA
rnacentral:rRNA from 1 species